CAUCACUGCAAGGAAUCAACACCGUCUCAACGGCGGCAACAACGGAUACAGAACAACUGAUGCGGCCUGAAGUGGACCUCAUUCAACCUUAAUUCCAGGUAUAGUAAUAACUAUCUUGCUGCUUAAUUACCUCCGCUACUAUAUAGCCAUUAGAACUGAUCCACGUAUACUGUAUAGGUAAUUAGCUUUUGUUGGGUCCAGUUGAGUAUCUCCUGGUCUUUUGAACUUCUUUUUUCAUGCACAUUAUUCGAUGGUGUUUUGAAAAGGCAUACGGCAGUUGUUGUUUUGGAGUUUUGAAACUAUUUCUCUUGCUAUUCUUGCCUCGUAGAAGGCAGGCAAUGCGCGGCAAGCUAUUUCACCUACUUGUUAGAUAUUGCAUCCUUAUUUAUUCUCAACACAUGACAAGUUGUGUUGUUUCUAUUCAUAUAUACUGUAGUAGGAUAUACACACGGAUAUUUUGUAAUGUUGUAGCCAACAAAGAGGCACAAAAGAGCAGAUGCAAGUUGCUGUCAACUGGCGCUCCAUCUGGAUUCGGAAUUCAUUUUCAUAUGGGAUGCAUUUUGUGCAGUAAAAAAACCAUUGGCUAGGAAGAAAUAAAAUCAUGAAUUUCCAGCCAAUCAACUACCAAAUAUAGGCCCUUGACAGCAGCAUUAAUUCUGUCUCAUACUUAAAUUUAGUUACGGCAUGUUGGCUUAGGUUGUUCAUAUAAAUUUUCUUAUUAAUUAUGUGGCAUAUCACUUAAUGAGGUUGCCUGUGUGGUAUAUGUUUGGGGCAACUCGGUUUUUUUCUAGAGGCCAGAGCUCAGUGUCUAAUCGCAUCAAAACAUGCUGCUGUUUAGCAUGAUUGGCAUAGCUUACAGUUUUUGUUAAACUGAAUUAGCGAAUAUAUGUUGCUUUUUCACGUGCGCACCAUGUCAUUUGAGACAAUUUCAAGAUCUUAGAAAUUAGCCCCAAGCUUCAAAAUUCCAACAAACUAAUACAAAGAUGAGAUUAUUCAUUUAAAAUUAGCAAGUUAUGAGAGGAGGUUUUGCAUAAAGUAAUUCUACAUGGCGUAAGAUUACAAUAUUCAUUGUAGCAAGAUUUUCUUUCUAAUCUGUGGCACCGUCAAAUUGGACAUCCAUCAUGGUUCAUGACAUUAGGCAUCAAGGAUAGAAGCAUAUAUGUUGGAUAUCUAUGACAUAAAGAGAUUAUCGUUUCAACUACUUGACCUAUCAGUGUUUGGUUAGUUCAAUCAAAUUUAUAGAUUUACUAUUGAUUGUUUGGAUGGUUGGUUAGGAAAGUGAAAAGGAAACUCUUUGAUGUUGACAACUUAGUUUCUCUGUGGUAAUGACAAGCUUCUUAAUUUACUCACAAGUGAGGAUCUGAUGUCAGUUAUUUUGUGGAUCAAACCUGCCAGCAAUGACCUUACUUGAACAAUAUCUAUUCUGUGGGAUCAUACCGUUGCCAACGUGCCAGCAAGUAAAUUUGUUGGCAUUUUAUUCUGUUUUAGGAUAACUUUUUUUGUUGCUCAAUAAAAGGAAUAUCCCUCUUCGUAAAUCUAUUAUUUCGCUUUCCCAUGAAGCUGUAGUUUUCUCCAAAUAAUUUUGAGAUUACACUAAGCAGAAGCUGCUAAACAUGUCGUGGAAGCUGAUGCAAAAUCAAACAGUAAAGAGGAGGUUGCUCUGUGUUGCCAUUGUUGUAUGAAUAUAAUGCAACCUUCUGCUACUGUAUGAAGAAAAGUAUGUGCAUAACUGCAUACUUGCAGGAAUAGAAGAUAGAUAAAUAUGACCUUGCGUACAGAUUGUUGUGUAGAUAAAACUGACCUUGCUUACAGAUUUUGUUGUAUGUAUUUUUUUGUAUAGUUGACCAAGAUAGAUAGAAUAUGGUAGAAGAAAGAGGUGCAGAUUGUUGUAUGGCCAUAUUGUACAUGGUGAUCAUUGUUGUAUUUAUUUUACAUAGAUAGAAUAAUGAUGUAGAUAUAGAGGGUUUUCGCAUAUGUACCAAUUUUCAUAGGAACUAUGAUUAUGUAUGACUGGUAUAUGGUGCACAAAUCAGUCAUAUACUCAUUUAUUGCGUGUGGCAUGUACUGUGUUUGUGAAGUGCGAUGAGCAAACAACCUGAGUGGUUUUCUUCUUACUUGUCAUGAAGUUUUGAUGGAUGAAGUUCUAUACAAUGCUUACU
rnacentral:lncRNA from 1 species